CAGGCAAGGCAAGAUGAUGAGAUGCUUUAGAGGCAAGAAGGAUGAGAUUGAGAGAGAGACAGCAGUCAUGAGAAAUGGAGGAAUGUUGUUAGAAAAGUCGAUAGCCCUCAAUAAUGGCAGAGGCAAUCCUAUCCGUUCAUUUUCUAUCCAAGAGCUUAACAAUGCAACAAAUAACUAUGAUUCAAAUCAAAGGUUUGCAAUGCUGCGAACAAGCAAAAUGUAUAAGGGUUUUCUGCAAGACCGCCCGGUAAUCGUGAAAAAGUAUGCAAAUAAUGAAAAUUUCUUGGAGGAAUCUAUCAAUGAGAUAGUGUUUGCAUCACAAAUGAGUGCGCAUGAAAAUGUUCUCAAACUCUUAGGUUGCUGCUUGGAGUCCCCA
rnacentral:misc_RNA from 1 species